ACCAGUUUUAUUACAAUAGUAAUUUCUUCCUAUCACAUUUGGUGGUUAUCUAUUCACGGGGGAUGUAGGGAAGGGAGGAGGAUCAGCACAGACCGGUGCAUUAAGAUAUAUUACUAUGGAGAAGCUGACACAAGAGUGUGUGGCUGACAGACAGCAGAGAGCUGAGGCAGAGAGCAGAAUAUCCCCAAGUCCAUUAUAACGGUGUCCAACUGACCUUUACAGAAAAUAUGUAAGAACAAUAAAAAAGGGCCUUUGUGGCUCUGGGUGCAGCUCGGAGGUGGUUUUGCAGCCCAUCUCCCAGCAGCUGCUCCUUGCCAUGGCGUGGGAUGCUGUGGGUGAGGUGGGGGAGCUCACAGCACUCCGAGUCCCUCAUAACCACAGCAAGUUUUCUACAUUUGUGCAAAGAGAUAAUCUGUGAUUCAUAACCAUUUAAAUAAAUGGCUAAUCAAUUUCUAUGGGUUGCUAUAGAGCCCAAUAAAUCAAACCCAGGCUGAUUAUAACCAUGGCUUAUAGCCAUCUCAUAAUACCUUCCACUGAUGUGCUUAUAAUAAUCUGUAACAUCCGCUACUGCUGUCGGUAACUCAUUUAAAACACCAGUUACUACUUUUUCAACUUACUAAAAGCGCAGAGAGAGUAAAUAUUCCUCAAUAUCUGUAAACCACGUGACCUUUCCUGGUUGCAAACUUAGGGCUAAAUCGAUGCUCAUCGGAGGCAAGGAAGGAUUCCUUACCUAUGAUGGUAAGGAAGGUGAUAGUAAGGAGGGUGAAGGUAAGGAAGGUGAAGGUAGGGAAGGUGAUGGUAGGGAAGGUGAUGGUAAGGAAGGUGAAGGUAAAGAAGGUGAUGUUUUGCAGCUGGGCUUGGCGAGGAUAGCCCUUUUCCAAGGGAGACAUAGGAGUUCAGAGUCAGAUCCAUCCCUUGGAAGACCCACACCUGAAUUUCUGCUUUCAAAGCCUACACAACAGCAGAGGAAUUAAAAACCUGUGAGCCUGGAUGCUUUCAGAUCCCGCAGCCACCAGGUUUUGCUUUUUUUUGCUCUGCCAACACAUCUAUUUUUUCUCUUUCUGCUUUGACUCACACAACUCUUUGGAAGAAGCUCCAUUGGCUUAAAUA
ensembl:lncRNA